rnacentral:rRNA from 1 species
CAGCAGCCACGGUAAUACGAAGGGGGCUAGCGUUGCUCGGAAUGACUGGGCGUAAAGGGCGCGUAGGCGGCGGCCAAAGUCAGGCGUGAAAUUCCCGGGCUCAACCUGGGGGCUGCGUUUGAUACUUGGUUGCUUGAGUGGGGAAGAGGGUCGUGGAAUUCCCAGUGUAGAGGUGAAGUUCGUAGAUAUUGGGAAGAACACCGGUGGCGAAGGCGGCGACCUGGUCCUUUACUGACGCUGAGGCGCGAAAGCGUGGGGAGCAAACAGGAUUAGAUACCCCCGUAGUCCCUGUCUCUUAUAA